GGCGGUGUGUCCGAGUGGUUAAGAAGAUGGACUCGAAAUCCAUUAGGAUCUGCCUGCGCAGGUUUGAAUCCUGCCGCCGUCG
rnacentral:tRNA from 1 species